UCAGGAUGAACGCUAGCGACAGGCUUAACACAUGCAAGUCGAGGGGCAGCAUAAAAGUAGCAAUACUUGGUGGCGACCGGCGCACGGGUGAGUAACGCGUAUGCAACCUACCUAUCAGAGGGGAAUAACCCGGCGAAAGUCGGACUAAUACCGCAUAAAACAGGGGCACCGCAUGGUGAUAUUUGUUAAAGAAAUUCGCUGAUAGAUGAGCAUGCGUUCCAUUAGGUAGUUGGUGAGGUAACGGCUCACCAAGCCGACGAUGGAUAGGGAACUGAGAGGUUGGUCCCCCACACUGGUACUGAGACACGGACCAGACUCCUACGGGAGGCAGCAGUGAGGAAUAUUGGUCAAUGGGCGGGAGCCUGAACCAGCCAAGUCGCGUGAAGGAAGAAGGAUCUAUGGUUCGUAAACUUCUUUUGCAGGGGAAUAAAGUGCAGGACGUGUCCUGUUUUGUAUGUACCCUGAGAAUAAGGAUCGGCUAACUCCGUGCCAGCAGCCGC
rnacentral:rRNA from 1 species